rnacentral:rRNA from 1 species
AACGAACGCUGGCGGCAUGCCUAACACAUGCAAGUCGAACGAGACCUUCGGGCCUAGUGGCGCACGGGUGCGUAACGCGUGGGAACCUGCCCUUAGGUUCGGAAUAACUCCCCGAAAGGGGUGCUAAUACCGGUUAAUGUCUUCGGACCAAAGAUUUAUCGCCUUUGGAUGGGCCCGCGUUGGAUUAGCCAGUUGGUAGGGUAAAAGCCUACCAAGGCGACGAUCCAUAGCUGGUCUGAGAGGAUGAUCAGCCACACUGGGACUGAGACACGGCCCAGACUCCUACGGGAGGCAGCAGUGGGGAAUAUUGGAGAAUGGGCGAAAGCCUGAUCCAGCAAUGCCGCGUGAGUGAUGAAGGCCUUAGGGUUGUAAAGCUCUUUUACCCGGGAUGAUAAUGACAGUACCGGGAGAAUAAGCUCCGGCUAACUCCGUG